GACGAACGCUGGCGGCGUGCUUAACACAUGCAAGUCGAGCGGUAAGGCCCCUUCGGGGGUACGACGAGCGGCGAACGGGUGAGUAACACGUGGGUGACCUGCCCUCAGCUCUGGGAUAAGCCUGGGAAACUGGGUCUAAUACCGGAUAUGACUCCAUGACGCAUGUCGUGGGGUGGAAAGCCUUGUGCGGCUGGGGAUGGGCCCGCGGCCUAUCAGCUUGUUGGUGGGGUGANGGCCUACCAAGGCGACGACGGGUAGCCGGCCUGAGAGGGCGACCGGCCACACUGGGACUGAGACACGGCCCAGACUCCUACGGGAGGCAGCAGUGGGGAAUCUUGCGCAAUGGGCGAAAGCCUGACGCAGCGACGCCGCGUGAGGGAUGACGGCCUGGUGUAAC
rnacentral:rRNA from 1 species